GGGGUUGUGGCUCAGUGGUAGAGCACUCGCCUAGCAUGUGUGAGGCCCUGGGUUCAAGCCUCAGCACCACA
rnacentral:tRNA from 1 species